AGGAUGUUUCGGGUGAAGCCACGGUCCAAGUCCCUUGGAACAGGACGUCAUAGAGGGUGAGAACCCCGUACCUGGCCGUCGGCUCCCCCCGCUGUGAAACUCCUUCAACGAGUCGAGUUGUUUGGGAAUGCAGCUCUAAAUUGGUGGUAAAUUCCAUCUAAAGCUAAAUACCGGCCAGAGACCGAUAGCGCACAAGUAGAGUGAUCGAAAGAUGAAAAGCACUUUGAAAAGAGAGUUAAAAAGUACGUGAAAUUGUUGAAAGGGAAGCGCUUGCGGCCAGACUUGCCCGCGGUUGCUCAGCCCGCCUUUUGGCGGGUGCACUCUUCCGCGGUCAGGCCAGCAUCGGUUUGGGCGGUCGGAUAAAGGCGUUGGGAACGUGGCCUCCCCUCGGGGAGGUGUUAUAGCCCGGCGCGCAAUGCGACCAGCCCGGACCGAGGUUCGCGCUUUGCUAGGAUGCUGGCGUAAUGGCCGUAAGCGGCCCGUCUUGAAACACGGACCAAGGAGUCUAACAUCUAUGCGAGUGUUUGGGUGUCAAACCCGUGCGCGUAAUGAAAGUGAACGGAGGUGGGAACCGCAAGGUGCACCAUCGACCGAUCCUGAUGUCUUCGGAAGGAUUUGAGUAAGAGCAUAGCUGUUGGGACCCGAAAGAUGGUGAACUAUGCGUGAAUAGGGUGAAGCCAGAGGAAACUCUGGUGGAGGCUCGCAGCGGUUCUGACGUGCAAAUCGAUCGUCAA
rnacentral:rRNA from 1 species